rnacentral:misc_RNA from 1 species
GAUGAAGAACGUAGUGAAAUGCGAUAAGUAAUGUGAAUUGCAGAAUUCAGUGAAUCAUCGAAUCUUUGAACGCACAUUGCGCCCGCCAGUAUUCUGGCGGGCAUGCCUGUUCGAGCGUCGUUUCAACCAUCAAGCCCUGCUUGCGUUGGGGUCCUGCGGCUGCCCGCAGGCCCUGAAAACCAGUGGCGGGCUCGCUAGUCACACCGAGCGCAGUAAUACAUCUCGCUUUGGGCGUGCGGCGGGUUCUUGCCGUUAAACACCCCCUUUUUACCAAGGUUGACCUCGGAUCAGGUAGGAAUACCCGCUGAACUUAAGCAUAUCAAUAAGCGGAGGA